rnacentral:rRNA from 1 species
GACGAACGCUGGCGGCGUGCCUAAUACAUGCAAGUAGAACGCUGAAGAGAGGAGCUUGCUCUUCUUGGAUGAGUUGCGAACGGGUGAGUAACGCGUAGGUAACCUGCCUUGUAGCGGGGGAUAACUAUUGGAAACGAUAGCUAAUACCGCAUAACAAUGGAUGACACAUGUCAUUUAUUUGAAAGGGGCAAUUGCUCCACUACAAGAUGGACCUGCGUUGUAUUAGCUAGUAGGUGAGGUAACGGCUCACCUAGGCGACGAUACAUAGCCGACCUGAGAGGGUGAUCGGCCACACUGGGACUGAGACACGGCCCAGACUCCUACGGGAGGCAGCAGUAGGGAAUCUUCGGCAAUGGGGGCAACCCUGACCGAGCAACGCCGCGUGAGUGAAGAAGGUUUUCGGAUCGUAAAGCUCUGUUGUAAGUCAAGAACGAGUGUGAGAGUGGAAAGUUCACACUGUGACGGUAGCUUACCAGAAAGGGACGGCUAACUACGUGCCAGCAGCCGCGGUAAUACGUAGGUCCCGAGCGUUGUCCGGAUUUAUUGGGUGUAAAGCGAGCGCAGGCGGUUUGAUAAGUCUGAAGUUAAAGGCUGUGGCUCAACCAUAGUUCGCUUUGGAAACUGUCAAACUUGAGUGCAGAAGGGGAGAGUGGAAUUCCAUGUGUAGCGGUGAAAUGCGUAGAUAUAUGGAGGAACACCGGUGGCGAAAGCGGCUCUCUGGUCUGUAACUGACGCUGAGGCUCGAAAGCGUGGGGAGCGAACAGGAUUAGAUACCCUGGUAGUCCACGCCGUAAACGAUGAGUGCUAGGUGUUGGAUCCUUUCCGGGAUUCAGUGCCGCAGCUAACGCAUUAAGCACUCCGCCUGGGGAGUACGACCGCAAGGUUGAAACUCAAAGGAAUUGACGGGGGCCCGCACAAGCGGUGGAGCAUGUGGUUUAAUUCGAAGCAACGCGAAGAACCUUACCAGGUCUUGACAUCCCGAUGCUAUUUCUAGAGAUAGAAAGUUACUUCGGUACAUCGGUGACAGGUGGUGCAUGGUUGUCGUCAGCUCGUGUCGUGAGAUGUUGGGUUAAGUCCCGCAACGAGCGCAACCCCUAUUGUUAGUUGCCAUCAUUCAGUUGGGCACUCUAGCGAGACUGCCGGUAAUAAACCGGAGGAAGGUGGGGAUGACGUCAAAUCAUCAUGCCCCUUAUGACCUGGGCUACACACGUGCUACAAUGGUUGGUACAACGAGUUGCGAGUCGGUGACGGCAAGCUAAUCUCUUAAAGCCAAUCUCAGUUCGGAUUGUAGGCUGCAACUCGCCUACAUGAAGUCGGAAUCGCUAGUAAUCGCGGAUCAGCACGCCGCGGUGAAUACGUUCCCGGGCCU